UACGUAGGGGGCGAGCGUUGUCCGGAGUUACUGGGCGUAAAGCGCUUGUAGGCGGUCCACCAAGUUUGGGGUGACAGUUGCCGACUUAAUCGGCAAAGUGCCUCAAAGACUGGCGGACUUGAGGGCCACAGAGGGACAUGGAACUCCAGGUGUAGUGGUGAAAUGCGUAGAUAUCUGGAAGAACACCAAAGGCGAAGGCAGUGUCCUGGGUGGUCGCUGACACUGAGAGGCGAAAGCCAGGGGAGCGAACGGG
rnacentral:rRNA from 1 species